rnacentral:rRNA from 1 species
AGCGAGUCUGCCUUGAAGAUCGGAGUGCUUGCACUCUGUGAAACAAGAUACAGGCUAGCGGCGGACGGGUGAGUAACACGUGGGUAACCUGCCCAAGAGAUCGGGAUAACACCUGGAAACAGAUGCUAAUACCGGAUAACAACAGAUGAUGCCUAUCAACUGUUUAAAAGAUGGUUCUGCUAUCACUCUUGGAUGGACCUGCGGUGCAUUAGCUAGUUGGUAGGGUAACGGCCUACCAAGGCGAUGAUGCAUAGCCGAGUUGAGAGACUGAUCGGCCACAUUGGGACUGAGACACGGCCCAAACUCCUACGGGAGGCAGCAGUAGGGAAUCUUCCACAAUGGACGCAAGUCUGAUGGAGCAACGCCGCGUGAGUGAAGAAGGGCUUCGGCUCGUAAAGCUCUGUUGUUGGUGAAGAAGGACAGGGGUAGUAACUGACCUUUGUUUGACGGUAAUCAAUUAGAAAGUCACGGCUAACUACGUGCCAGCAGCCGCGGUAAUACGUAGGUGGCAAGCGUUGUCCGGAUUUAUUGGGCGUAAAGCGAGUGCAGGCGGCUCGAUAAGUCUGAUGUGAAAGCCUUCGGCUCAACCGGAGAAUUGCAUCAGAAACUGUCGAGCUUGAGUACAGAAGAGGAGAGUGGAACUCCAUGUGUAGCGGUGAAAUGCGUAGAUAUAUGGAAGAACACCGGUGGCGAAGGCGGCUCUCUGGUCUGUUACUGACGCUGAGGCUCGAAAGCAUGGGUAGCGAACAGGAUUAGAUACCCUGGUAGU